rnacentral:rRNA from 3 species
GGGGAAUUUUCCGCAAUGGGCGAAAGCCUGACGGAGCAAUACCGCGUGAGGGAGGAAAGCCUUCGGGUUGUAAACCUCUUUUCUCAGAGAAGAACACAAUGACGGUACCUGAGGAAUAAGCAUCGGCUAACUCCGUGCCAGCAGCCGCGGUAAUACGGAGGAUGCAAGCGUUAUCCGGAAUGAUUGGGCGUAAAGCGUCCGCAGGUGGCAAUUUAAGUCUGCUGUUAAAGCGUCUGGCUUAACCAGAUAAAAGCAGUGGAAACUAUCUUGCUAGAGUGCGGUAGGGGCAGAGGGAAUUAAGAGAGUAGCGGUGAAAUGCGUAGAUACUCUUAAGAACACCGGUGGCGAAAGCGCUCUGCUAGGCCGUAACUGGCACUGAGGGACGAAAGCUAGGGGAGCGAAUGGGAUUAGAUACCCCAGUAGUCCUAGCCGUAAACGAUGGAUACUAGGCGUGGCUUGUAUCGACCCGAGCCGUGCCGUAGCUAACGCGUUAAGUAUCCCGCCUGGGGAGUACGCACGCAAGUGUGAAACUCAAAGGAAUUGACGGGGGCCCGCACAAGCGGUGGAGUAUGUGGUUUAAUUCGAUGCAACGCGAAGAACCUUACCAAGGCUUGACAUGUCGCGAACCUACUGGAAACAGAAGGGUGCCUUCGGGAGCGCGAACACAGGUGGUGCAUGGCUGUCGUCAGCUCGUGUCGUGAGAUGUUGGGUUAAGUCCCGCAACGAGCGCAACCCUCGUUUUUAGUUGCCAGCAUUAAGUUGGGCACUCUAGAGAGACUGCCGGUGACAAACCGGAGGAAGGUGGGGAUGACGUCAAGUCAGCAUGCCCCUUACGUCUUGGGCUACACACGUACUACAAUGCUACGGACAGAGGGCAGCGAGCGCGCGAGUGCAAGCAAAUCCCGUAAACCGUGGCUCAGUUCAGAUCGCAGGCUGCAACUCGCCUGCGUGAAGGUGGAAUCGCUAGUAAUUGCAGGUCAGCAUACUGCAGUGAAUUCGUUCCCGGGCCUUGUACACACCGCCCGUCACACCAUGGAAGCUGGUAGUGCCCGAAGUCAUUACUCCAACCUUUCGGGGAGGAGGAUGCCUAAGGCAGGACUGGUGACUGGGGUGAAGUCGUAACAAGGUAGCCGUACCGGAAGGUGUGGCUGGAUCACCUCCUU